CCCUGCUCUGAGCCGCCAGCAGCAUAUUCCCCCAUUAACUAGAGUGAGCAACUCAGGCUCAGCUGCUUUCCGACCGGAGGAAUAUCAAGAUUUGUCUUCAGAAGAGCAACGCCAAAUCUGGUCUGGGUUCAUUGAGCUGUACCAUGUGAAUAAAUGCCUUUGGAGAGUCAAGAGCGCAGACUAUGCCAACAGAACCAAGAGGAAUCGGGCAUAUGACCAACUGAUAUGAUUCAGUAGAGUCUGAAAAGUGCUGCGUAUCUCAACAGUGUUUUUGAAGGAACACAAGAAAGUUGUCGACUCACAAUGAUCGAGUGCCGGGAUGGAUAAGGGCUACAAGCCAGCGCUGUGGUAUUAUGACCUCUUGAAGUUCACCUUGGAGCAAGAGCAGAGGAUAAGGUCCUAGAGUAGUCUGGAUUGAGAGUUUCCAAUCCUCGUUGAAGAGGAGGCCCAGGAGAGUCUGGAUCUGGAUCUUUGGAGCUGAAGGUGAAGCCUUCUACCAGAAAGGCCUCAGAAGUGGUCGACCCCAUUGUGGCUUCACCAUCACCACAGCCACGUCCUCCAAAACAGCAGAGGAUGACCAAAAAGGCCACUUCUGCCCCAUCCAGCUCACAUCAGUUUUUUCAACGUGCAGAGGAGGUUCUUCAUAGGCCCCCAGAUGUUUACCAAACAUUUUGCAACUAUAUUGCAGUGAAGAUGAGACUGAUAACGACUCAUCAAAAGAGGAUCCACAAGCGUUUGGUACUUGAUGCUACCUCACGUGCCACCAACCAAAUUCUUGUAGAUCAGUGUGAGAUAAUGCCACUUGCCAGACGCCAUCACCCAAAUAUGGCCCCAUCCACCUUCCCACAUCAACAGCCCAUGCAGUAUGUGCCAAGAAACCCUCCUCAACAGAUUAGGUUUAUUUCCGCCAGGUUCUACAAAGCCCGCCCACUUCUCCCAGUCCAGCCCGUCAUCCUGUGGCAUGUACUAAGACAUGCUGAGUACACAGUUCUCUGUACUGGAAGACCCACAUUUUUUAAAUUUCUAAUUAGUUUUUUUAUCCCAGUUUUUUAGUUCUGUUGAAAAAAUUGUUGUUGACCGUAUCCUAGUCUCUUGCUCCAAGUAAACUGUAUUGAGGUCAUUAGUACGGGUGGUCUUCAGUAUGCCGGCGGUCGGGCUCCCGGCGCUCAGUAUACCGGCGCCGGGAUCCCGACAGCCGGCAUACCGACACUUAUUUUCCCUCGUGGGGGUCCACGACCCCCCUGGAGGGAGAAUAAAAUAGCGUGGCGCGCGUAGCGCGCCACCGUGCCCGUAGCGUGGCGAGCGCAGCGAGCCCGCAAGGGGCUCAUUUGCGCUCGCCACACUGUCGGUAAGCCGGCAGUCGGGCUCCCGGCGCCGGUAUGCUGGUCGCCGGCAGCCUGACCGCCGGCAUAUCGUAGUGAACCCAUUAGUACCACAGCGUGGGCUUCCUGACCUCAUUGUCCCAGACUUCUGAUUGUUGUGAUCGAAGCAUUUCUUGUGUUCCUUCUAUAAACACUGUUCGGAAAUUUGCACUUCUUUACCCAAUAUAUGGUCGCAGCACUGUAUUUGGCUCUACUGUAUAUGAUAUUCAGUGGAUUAUGCCUGAUUUCUCUUGUGUAUUCUGUUGGCAAAAAGCACUUGUUCUCGUGGUAGAGCUAAUGAAUUCAGUCCAGAAUUGGCGUUGUUUCUUAACAAUUUUUGAACAUAUAAAGUUAUUAAAAACUA